rnacentral:rRNA from 1 species
GACGAACGCUGGCGGCGUGCCUAAUACAUGCAAGUCGAGCGAGCGGAACUAACAGAUUUACUUCGGUAAUGACGUUAGGAAAGCGAGCGGCGGAUGGGUGAGUAACACGUGGGGAACCUGCCCCAUAGUCUGGGAUACCACUUGGAGACAGGUGCUAAUACCGGAUAAGAAAGCAGAUCGCAUGAUCAGCUUUUAAAAGGCGGCGUAAGCUGUCGCUAUGGGAUGGCCCCGCGGUGCAUUAGCUAGUUGGUAAGGUAAAGGCUUACCAAGGCGAUGAUGCAUAGCCGAGUUGAGAGACUGAUCGGCCACAUUGGGACUGAGACACGGCCCAAACUCCUACGGGAGGCAGCAGUAGGGAAUCUUCCACAAUGGACGCAAGUCUGAUGGAGCAACGCCGCGUGAGUGAAGAAGGUUUUCGGAUCGUAAAGCUCUGUUGUUGGUGAAGAAGGAUAGAGGUAGUAACUGGCCUUUAUUUGACGGUAAUCAACCAGAAAGUCACGGCUAACUACGUGCCAGCAGCCGCGGUAAUACGUAGGUGGCAAGCGUUGUCCGGAUUUAUUGGGCGUAAAGCGAGCGCAGGCGGAAGAAUAAGUCUGAUGUGAAAGCCCUCGGCUUAACCGAGGAACUGCAUCGGAAACUGUUUUUCUUGAGUGCAGAAGAGGAGAGUGGAACUCCAUGUGUAGCGGUGGAAUGCGUAGAUAUAUGGAAGAACACCAGUGGCGAAGGCGGCUCUCUGGUCUGCAACUGACGCUGAGGCUCGAAAGCAUGGGUAGCGAACAGG